UAUGUGUGCCCAAGCAUUGAGGCAGUCAAAGUAGGCAAAUCCGCUUUGAUAAUGCUGGGAUGUGAUGGGGAGCGAAAUUUAGUAGCGAAGUAGCUGAUUUCACACUGUCAAGAAAAGUCUCUAUCGAGGUUAAAGGUACCCGUACCGCAAACCGACACAGGUGGGUGAGGAGAGUAUCCUAAGGCCAGCGAGAGAGCUGUUGUUAAGGAACUCGGCAAAAUGACCCCGUAACUUAGGGAUAAGGGGUGCCACCAUCAGGUGGCCGCAGAGAAUAGGCCCAAGCGACUGUUUACCAAAAACAUAGGUUUCUGCUAAGUCGCAAGA
rnacentral:rRNA from 1 species